GAUGAACGCUGGCGGCGUGCUUAACACAUGCAAGUCGAGCGGGCAAUUUAUCUAGCACUGAUUACUUCAAAUGGAAAUCAUAAGUGUAAUCAUGAAUUUCUACCUUUAAUAAAGAAAAAAGAAAUUCAUGUACGCAAAUAGUGAUAACACAUUUUAGUGGAGUGAUGAGUGCUGGAUAAAUUGCUAGCGGCGGACGGGUGCGUAACACGUGGGUAACCUGCCCCUAUCACUGGGAUAACACACUGAAAAGUGUGCUAAUACCAGAUAAUAUAAGCUUUUGGCAUCAUUAGCUUAUCAAAGAAUUUCGGAUAGGGAUGGGCCCGCGUCUGAUUAGCUAGUUGGUGAGGUAACGGCUCACCAAGGCAACGAUCAGUAGCCGACCUGAGAGGGUGAUCGGCCACACUGGAACUGAGACACGGUCCAGACUCCUACGGGAGGCAGCAGUGGGGAAUAUUGCACA
rnacentral:rRNA from 1 species